rnacentral:rRNA from 1 species
AUGCCCUGGGCUCCUCCCUCCACUCAAGUUGCCGCCCCCUCCAGAUCGACCCCCCCGAACUUCAGGCCACAAAUCGUGUCUGAUGCAUCGCAGGCUCCGGCGGAGAAGGGGUGGGUGGAGGUCGGGGGCCGGCAUCGCCCGAGGUUGGAGAAGCCAGCUGCCCUGCCCCGCAAGAAGAAGGACACCCGCUCCCUCGCAUUCAAGCGGAGAGCUUACAGACUCUGCUUCCAUUGCUUGGCGGAGGACCACUUUGUCGCCGAUUGCCGAGGCCCUGUCACCUGCAUGGGUUGCGGCCACUCUGGCCAUCGCAAGCGUGACUGUCCGGGCGGCCUUCCUGCCAGUCAAGGUCGCCUCCGCCGCUCCAUGUUGCCGCCAUCUGCUCCUGGCCUCCCCAACCACAAGCCCCCAGCUUCUUCACAACAGUUGCAGCAUCGCUCGUGGGCCGCCGUGGUUGCUUCUCCGACGGGGCUCGUUCAGGAGGCCCUUUGUAGCAACUCCGGUGUCUCUUGGUCAGGUCUGUCCGAUCCUGGCAAGACUACCUUUGCUGCUGAUCUGGGGCUGCUGCAACCCCUUUUUGCAGCAUAG